GUUUCCCAAAAUGAAGUGCGAUUCAUGUUUAUUCCAUACAGUUUAUCAAGAAUAGAACACUGGAUUGCUUCUAGUGUUACCAUGCAUACUGUUGUAUGUUGAUUAUUCGUUGGAUUUCCAACCAUGAAAUAACAGUUAACACCAUAUCUGUGUGUGAUGGAUAUACUGUUGGUGCAUGAAUACUUGAUGGUUGUGAAAAAUUUAUCAAUUUCAUUUGUGUUUCAGUUUCUCUUCGGCACUGUUCCCAGGUAUAAAUAUGGAGUUCUACGUAAUUCUAUAUAUCAACGUUCUUUUCAUGUACAGCAUAUGGGCCGGUACACAUCAAUUAGAAGUUAUUUUGUAAUAAAAUGCUUUCAGUAAUAUGUCGAAUAUCUGGCCUUUCACAACAACUGUUAAUGUUAUCCUACCAAUUUAAUAAAAAUGAAAUCCAGAAAUGAAAAAGCACCUUGAUAUUAAUCAAACUGCAAACUUUCAGAUCGUAUUUUAUAUGAUUUGUAUAUACAGCUGAUUCAAUUAAGGCAGACUUUCCAAAGUCCUUUCCGGCCAGACCCCCCAUCAGCCCCUUCGCCAUCUCUCCCCACUACAAUACUUCAUGUAAACACGUCAUAUGGGCAUCACUGUUUUUUUACAAAGAGACGCCUGGGUACGAGGCAGGGCCAGACCCUUCGAUGGCGCGCUUCGACUUGUGGCAAGUCUACAAUUAAGCUUGUCCUUCCAAAACCUAAACCUUAAACUCCGAGCGCGCAAGGGAUGGGUUUUCACCUAUUAGGCCCUUAAACUCAGAAAAUUGCCUUUGCAGCAAGUAUGUUUUCUGUCGUGAGUCUUCUACAGGGUGUAUAAAAAAGAACGGAGUCGUCCUAAAUAUCCUUAUUUCUAUCGUAAAAUAAACUACCAUACUUUCGUUUUGUGCUCAAUUUAAAGCUUGUUUUUUCAUCUUUCGAAUGAAGGAUUUCUUGAAAAUUUUGAACUAAAGCUAAUCGCAAUAAAACUG